rnacentral:snRNA from 1 species
AUACUUACCUGGCAUGGGAUAUACCAUGAUCACGAAGAUGGUUUUCCCAGGGUGAAACUUAUGCUUUGCCCUCAAAUGUGCUGAUUCUUGUGAUUUCCCCAAAUAUGGGGAACUUGACUGCAUAAUUUGCAGUAGUGGGGGACUGCGUUUGCACCCUCCCU